AGGCGCGGGGAGGGGUUGGGGGAGGAGGGAAAGCGGCGAGUAAGAUGGAAGAUGAGGAGGUCGCUGAGAGCUGGGAGGAGGCGGCAGACAGCGGGGAAAUAGACAGACGGUUGGAAAAAAAACUGAAGAUCACACAAAAAGAGAGCAGGAAAUCCAAAUCUCCUCCAAAAGUGCCCAUUGUGAUUCAAGACGAUAGCCUUCCCACCGGGCCCCCUCCACAGAUCCGCAUCCUCAAGAGGCCCACCAGCAAUGGUGUGGUCAGCAGCCCCAACUCCACCAGCAGGCCAGCCCUUCCAGUCAAGUCCCUAGCACAGCGGGAGGCAGAGUACGCUGAGGCCCGGAAACGGAUCCUGGGCAGCGCCAGCCCCGAGGAGGAGCAGGAGAAACCUAUCCUUGACAGGCCAACCAGGAUCUCGCAGCCAGAAGACAGCAGACAGCCCAAUAAUGUGAUCAGACAGCCUUUGGGUCCUGAUGGGUCACAAGGCUUCAAACAGCGCAGAUAAAUGGAAGCAAAAAGGAUGCCGCCGCUGCCACCGCCGUCACCACCUCCUGGGUCAUUGGCCACGGGUUGCACUGCCAUGGCAGACAGCUGGACUUGAGCAGAGGGAACGACCUGACUUACUUGCACUGUGAUCCCCCUUGCUCCGCCCACUGUGACCUUGAACCCCAUGCACUGUGACCUCUUCCCCCCCUUCCCACUGUGAUUGGCACAUCGAUAAGGGUUGUCCCAAGUCAAUGGAAAUGGAAAGGGUGGGGGUUAGGGGAGGGUUGGAGGGACCCACCAAGGACUCAGAAUAGAGUCAGACAGUGCCACUUGGCCACUUGGGGUAAAGCCAGUGCCAGCAAUAAGUUUAUCAUGCUCGUUAAUUUGGGAUUUCAAAACACAAAUGAGAACUGCACCUACGCACCCCCAAGUGCGUGUCUUCAUCACUUAAAAAUAAGUUGCAGGCUUUGGCUUGGAAAUCCCCAGGAGGAUGAGGGGCAGGACCAUGAGGCCGCUGCCCCUUUAUCUGCCUUCACGGUACUGUCCCUUUCUUCAGCUCCUCCCAGACCCCUUGAUCCAGGCCUCAGUCCUUCUGGCUAACUGCUUCCCAUGAGCCACUACUCUGAUGUCAGCCUAUAACCAAAGGAGCUAGGGGUCCAGGCCUGGUGACCAGCCCUUCUUAGCCCACUCAAUCAGGGUGCUCCCCACCUGCAGGCAGGAGGCAACACCCUAUCUGCUACCAUCAGCCCCUUCCAGAGCCCACUUGCCCCGCCUAGCCCUGCCCUGCCCAGCCAUACCCUGCUCUGCCCCAUUUGGGGGUGCCUUGCUCAGGGAUGGGCCGGCAGGGCUACACCCAGCCUCCCUGGCAAGCAGAGACUCAAACCUCUGGGGUCCUGUUUUCUGGUCCCAGGGGUGCACAUAGGCCCCUUGGGUGUCUGAACAGAAGGGAAUGGGAGGGGGCCACACCCCUGCACCCUGCUUUGCUGGUGCAGUGGACAGCUGCCCACCCCCACCCCACCCCCACAUAUGGGCUCCUGAGUCGGCAGAUUAAGCAUUUUAUAAAUUGUAUUUUAAAUACAUGUUUUAAACUUGUCA